AGUGGCGGACGGGUGAGUAACGCGUGAGAAUCUGCCUUGGGGUCGGGGACAACCACUGGAAACGGUGGCUAAUACCGGAUAAGCCGAUUGGUGAAAGAUUUAUUGCCCGAAGAGGAGCUCGCGUCUGAUUAGCUAGUUGGUGAGGUAAGAGCUCACCAAGGCAGCGAUCAGUAGCUGGUCUGAGAGGACGAUCAGCCACACUGGGACUGAGACACGGCCCAGACUCCUACGGUAGGCAGCAGUGGGGAAUUUUCCGCAAUGGGCGAAAGCCUGACGGAGCAAGACCGCGUGAGGGAGGAAGGCUCUUGGGUUGUAAACCUCUUUUCUCAGGGAAGAAGCUCUGACGGUACCUGAGGAAUCAGCCUCGGCUAACUCCGUGCCAGCAGCCGCGGUAAUACGGAGGAGGCAAGCGUUAUCCGGAAUUAUUGGGCGUAAAGCGUCCGCAGGUGGCGAUUCAAGUCUGCUGUCAAAGCACGGGGCUUAACUCCGUAAAGGCAGUGGAAACUGAAUAGCUAGAGUGCCGUAGGGGUAGAGGGAAUUCCCGGUGUAGCGGUGAAAUGCGUAGAGAUCGGGAAGAACAUCGGUGGCGAAAGCGCUCUACUGGACGGCAACUGACACUCAGGGACGAAAGCUAGGGGAGCGAAUGGGAUUAGAUACCCC
rnacentral:rRNA from 1 species